AUGCUCGCUUGGGCAGCACAUAUACUAAAAUCGGAACCAUACAGAGAUUAGCAUGGCCCCUGCGCGUGAAUGACAUGCAAAUUUGUGAAGCGUUCCAUAUUUUU
ensembl:snRNA U6 U6 spliceosomal RNA